rnacentral:rRNA from 1 species
CCUACGGGGAGCUGCAGUCGAGAAUCAUUCACAAUGGGGGAAACCCUGAUGGUGCGACGCCGCGUGGGGGAAUGAAGGUCUUCGGAUUGUAAACCCCUGUCAUGUGGGAGCAAAUUAAAAAGAUAGUACCACAAGAGGAAGAGACGGCUAACUCUGUGCCAGCAGCCGCGGUAAUACAGAGGUCUCAAGCGUUGUUCGGAAUCACUGGGCGUAAGGCGUGCGUAGGCUGUUUCGUAAGUCGUGUGUGAAAGGCGCGGGCUCAACCCGCGGACGGCACAUGAUACUGCGAGACUAGAGUAAUGGAGGGGGAACCGGAAUUCUCGGUGUAGCAGUGAAAUGCGUAGAUAUCGAGAGGAACACUCGUGGCGAAGGCGGGUUCCUGGACAUUAACUGACGCCGAGGCACGAAGGCCAGGGGAGCGAAAGGGAUUAGAUACCCGAGUAGUC